CAGUAGCCACGGUAAUACAGAGGGUGCGAGCGUUAAUCGGAUUUACUGGGCGUAAAGCGUGCGUAGGCGGCUUCUUAAGUCGGAUGUGAAAUCCCUGAGCUUAACUUAGGAAUUGCAUUCGAUACUGGGAAGCUAGAGUAUGGGAGAGGAUGGUAGAAUUCCAGGUGUAGCGGUGAAAUGCGUAGAGAUCUGGAGGAAUACCGGUGGCGAAGGCAGCCAUCUGGCCUAAUACUGACGCUGAGGUACGAAAGCAUGGGGAGCAAACAGGAUUAGAUACCCCAGUAGUCCCUGUCUCUUAUCA
rnacentral:rRNA from 1 species